UACGUAGGGGGGCAAGCGUUGUCCGGAUUUAUUGGGCGUAAAGAGCGUGUAGGCGCCAGGUAGGUCAGCUGUGAAAACUCGAGGCUCAACCUCGAGACGUCGGUUGAAACCACCUGGCUAGAGUCCGGAAGAGGAGAGUGGAAUUCCUGGUGUAGCGGUGAAAUGCGUAGAUAUCAAGGAGGAACACCCGGUGGGUGUAA
rnacentral:rRNA from 1 species